rnacentral:rRNA from 1 species
AUUGAACGCUGGCGGCAGGCCUAACACAUGCAAGUCGAGCGGUAGAGAGAAGCUUGCUUCUCUUGAGAGCGGCGGACGGGUGAGUAAUGUCUGGGAAACUGCCUGAUGGAGGGGGAUAACUACUGGAAACGGUAGCUAAUACCGCAUAACGUCGCAAGACCAAAGAGGGGGACCUUCGGGCCUCUUGCCAUCGGAUGUGCCCAGAUGGGAUUAGCUAGUAGGUGGGGUAACGGCUCACCUAGGCGACGAUCCCUAGCUGGUCUGAGAGGAUGACCAGCCACACUGGAACUGAGACACGGUCCAGACUCCUACGGGAGGCAGCAGUGGGGAAUAUUGCACAAUGGGCGCAAGCCUGAUGCAGCCAUGCCGCGUGUAUGAAGAAGGCCUUCGGGUUGUAAAGUACUUUCAGCGGGGAGGAAGGGAGUAAAGUUAAUACCUUUGCUCAUUGACGUUACCCGCAGAAGAAGCACCGGCUAACUCCGUGCCAGCAGCCGCGUAACAC